rfam:Populus trichocarpa scaffold_13_contig_48, whole genome shotgun sequence.
UCUAGAACUCUAGAUAUGGGCUGAACACUAAACAGUGUCUGGGCUGCAGGACAGAUUCCGACUUCUAUGUUGUUGCUACCAUUUGAACUAAAAAAUGACACUUUUAAAACUUGGACUCUCAUAAAAGUUUUAGGCCUAUGUCUUAGCUUUCCAUA